CUGCUCGCUUCAGCAGCACAUUUACUAAAAUUGGAACAAUGCGGAGAAGAUUAGCGUGACCCCUGUGCAAAGAUUCCUCUGCAAAUUCGUGAAGCGUUUCAUAUUGUG